rnacentral:sRNA from 1 species
GUCGCCAUGGCGACCGGCUGUACACUACCACAGCUUCCCAGGCCGCGGGUGCUGAUUGCCCGCCUGCCCGUGGGUCAUGGCCUGCCAGCAGUCGCGGUACCACAGCUUCUCGUCCGCGUCGAGAUUACAGCCACGGCCUUCAGGAGUGACCAUAGAUGAAUCCUUUCUCACAGAAGACAAGAGCACCCAGAAUCGCAAGCUUCUUCAGAAACGAAGGACGCUGGAGCUGCCAGCAGCACCCCUUUCACACUGCCAAGCCCCGGUACUUGGAGGAACUGGAAAACUACCUACGCAAGGAGCUCCUCCUACUGGACCUGGGCACAGAUUCCACCCAGGAACUAAGGCUGCAGCCCACCAAAGGGAGAAGAUUCGGGCUCUGGAGCCCCUGAAGGCCAAGCUUGUCACUGUGAAUGAGGACUGCAAUGAGAGGAUCCUGGCCAUGAGAGCUGAGGAGAAAUAUGAAAUCUCCCUGCUCAAGAAAGAGAAGAUGAACUUGCUAAAACUCAUCGACAAAAAGAAUGAGGAGAAGAUUUCAUUGCAGAGUGAGGUGACCAAACUGAGGAAGAACUUGGCUGAGGAGUACCUGCACUACCUCAGUGAGCGAGAUGCCCGUAAGAUCCUCAUCGCAGACCUGAAUGAGCUGCGGUACCAGCGGGAGGACAUGUCAUUAGCCCAGUCACCAGGCAUCUGGGGGGAGGACCCUGUGAAGUUAACCCUGGCUCUUACGAUGACCCGGCAAGACCUGACCCGCACGCAGAUGGAACUCAACACCAUGAAGGCCAACUUUGGAGAUGUGGUCCCCAGGAGGGACUUUGAAAUGCAGGAGAAGACCAACAAGCAUCUUCAGGAGCAGGUGCUGGCAGGCAGGCAGGGCCAGGAGGGUAGGACGGGGUCUCACAGGUGGGGGGCCAGGGCCAAUGUCCUUGCCCACAGCUGGACACCCUGAGAGCCAGCUACGAGGAGGUUCGCAAGGAGCAUGAGAUCCUCAUGCAGCUGCACAUGAGCACGCUGAAGGAACGGGACCAAUUCUUCUCUGAGCUGCAGGAGAUCCAGCGCACUUCCACGCCGCGGCCUGACUGGACCAAGUGCAAAGGUGAGGGCAGCCGGCAGGGCCCCAGGUCCUGCUUACAUGUGGGCCCAGACUCCAGCUCCCUCUCCCCACAUGCAGAUGUGGUGGCUGGGGGCCCAGAUCGCUGGCAGAUGCUGGCUGAGGGCAAGAACAGCGACCAGCUGGUGGACGUGCUCCUGGAAGAGAUUGGUUCGGGGCUGCUGCGGGAGAAAGACUUCUUCCCUGGUCUGGGCUAUGGGGAAGCCAUCCCUGCUUUUCUUCGGUUUGAUGGCCUCGUGGAGAACAAGAAGCCAAGCAAGAAGGACGUGGUCAACCUCCUCAAGGAUGCCUGGAAGGAACGUCUUGCUGAGGAGCAGAAAGAGACAUUCCCGGAUUUCUUCUUCAAUUUCCUGGAGCAUCGCUUUGGGCCCAGUGAUGCCAUGGCCUGGGCUUAUACUAUUUUUGAAAAUAUCAAGAUCUUCCACUCCAACGAGGUUAUGAGUCAGUUCUAUGCAGUCUUGAUGGGAAAGCGGAGUGAGAAUGUGUAUGUCACCCAGAAGGAGAUAGUAGCCCAGCUGCUGAAGGAGAUGACAAAUGCUGACAGUCAGAAUGAGGGGCUACUAACCAUGGAGCAGUUCAACACUGUCCUCAAGAGUACCUUCCCUCUCAAGACAGAAGAGCAAAUCCAGGAGCUGAUGGAGGCAGGGGGCUGGCAUCUCAGCAGCAGCAAUGCAGACUUGCUCAACUACCGCUCACUGUUUAUGGAGGAUGAGGAGGGCCAGAGUGAGCCCUUUGUGCAAAAACUCUGGGAACAAUACAUGGAUGAGAAGGACGAGUACUUACGGCAGCUAAAGCAGGAGCUGGGCAUAGAACUCCAUGAGGAAGUGACUCUGCCCAAGCUGCGAGGGGGCCUGAUGACCAUCGACCCCAGCCUGGACAAGCAGACAGUGAACACCUACAUGAGCCAGGCCUUCCAGCUCCCUGAGUCGGAAAUGCCAGAGGAGGGUGACGAGAAGGAAGAAGCCGUGGUGGAAAUCCUCCAGACUGCCCUGGAGCGGCUUCAGGUGAUUGACAUCAGGCGUGUGGGACCUCGAGAGCCAGAGCCUGCAAGCUAGGAACCUGUGGGCAGCCUGCGUGCUCCAGUCCUGCUAACCCCUAGUUUUUAAUAUAAAAGCGUUUGUCUGAA